rnacentral:lncRNA from 1 species
AGAUAAAUGUCUCCUGUGGCAUAAUUCUAACUAUUACCAUCUGUAAUUCCUUGUUGCUAUGACAACUUAAAGUAAAUAUUAAAAAUAGUCUGAAACCAGGAAAAGCACAGUGGGGAGUGUCUGUCCUGAAAGAAAACAAGCCCUCAAUGUGACCAAGCAAUGGCAGGAAAAAGGACUGAUGAGAACUUCAGGAAUUUUAGCUCAGAAUUCUCAAUCUGCAGAGAUUUUCUGAUCGAUGCUGCCUUCAGCCUGCUGUAUAUCUGGAAGUUGUGGACACUUCUAUGGCACAAAACCAGGCUGACUGCAUAGCUUCUGUGCAAUGAGUCAGCGGCUUGAAAGUACUACGAGAUUUUUGGCUGUGCUGAAAGUGGCUGUUGUGUAUGCUACAAACCUGAGACAUCUUAAACAUCAGUCUCACCACCCAUAUGAGUCACUUGUGUUGUUAAAUGAAUGCAAGAAGCUGAUGGAAAGCUAAGCAAUGUGCAGAAGACGUGAUGUAACUUCAUCAGGUAUGUAUUUUGUAUGUAGCUAGUAGACUUCUUUUUCUGGCUCAAGUAGUAUCAUAACUGAGAUCAGCAGCCAGCAAUGCAUUCUCUAUGCGUCUAGGGAAUUCAAAUUAUUGUUUUAUGGAGGAAGUGAUGGCCAUGCAGUUAGGUGUUUCCAUCUGUGCAAUCCUCUAUAAGGGUAUAGUGGUAAACAUGUAGCAUUAAACAUGUUUAUUGCAGAUGUGGG